CCUACGGGUGGCAGCAGUGAGGAAUAUUGGUCAAUGGACGAGAGUCUGAACCAGCAAAGUAGCGUGAAUGAUGACUGCCCUAUGGGUUGUAAACUUCUUUUAUAUGGGAAUAAAAUGUUCCACUUGUGGGAUUUUGUAUGUACCAUAUGAAUAUGGAUCGACUAACUACGUUCCAGCAGCGGCGGUAAUACGGAGGAUCCGCGCGUUGUCCGGAUUUGUUGGGUUUAAAGGGAGCGUAGUUGGGUUGUUAAUUCAGUUUUGAAAGUUUGCGGCUCAACAGGAAAAUUGCAGUUGAAACUGGCAGUCUUGAGUACAGUAGAGGUGGGCGGAAUUCGUGGUGUAGCGGUGAAAUGCUUAGAUAUCACGAAGAACUCCGAUUGCGAAGGCAGCUCACUGGACUGCAACUGACACUGAGGCUCGAAAGUGUGGGGAGCAAACAGGAUUAGAUACCCGAGUAGUC
rnacentral:rRNA from 1 species